AACAGGUCGGGUAGAAUUUUAAGAUGAGCCGUGUGUGGGUGGCAGCGACGGUGGCCGCCGUGCGGGCGCAGAGGGAGAGGGCGGCGGGUGCGGGGUCGCGGGACCGGCUUGCCGGGCUCGCCCCCCAGGCCGCCGCGCUCGGGGCGGCGCGGGCGGCCGCCGACGACGGCCGGAGGCAGGCCGGCGCCGACGAGUCGCUCCGCAAGGCCAUGUACCUCAGCUGCUGGGGCCCGAGCUGAUCACGACGCCGCGCCGGCCCUCGCGGGGACGGGAUAGAGCGACCUGUGGAUCUUGUGGGGCCUCGAUGGGCUUGAGCUUGGGCCGGGCGCACUUGGGUAGCAGCAAUCAUGUCUCGUCACAGUAUGUUUCUGGUUGGAAGGGGGAACAAACAUGUGCAAACCUUUGGAAAUUGAGGAUGGUGGAGUGGAUGUACUGUACAUACAAAUGCUAGUACUUCCUGUACAUAUUUCAUGCAAUUAAUUGGAAAACGGGAUGGUUUCAGCUUACGUUGGUGGCAAACAGGUGUUCCUUAGCAUUGGGAUCGUAGCAUAUAUGGAUGCAUCAUGGACUUGAUCUAUUUCAGUUUCUACUUGAAACUCUGUAGCGCGACUGCUACCGCAGGUUAUUUUGUGCCAGGAUAACUGAAGCAAGCAAGCAACACGACCCAGGCGGCCUGGGGAGGCUCGCCGCUUACAGUGGGAACCAAACCAAUGGUUGUCCAAGCCAAAGCGCGCAGUGAAAUCUUGCGAUUUGGACGCAAACUGCUACCUUUGCUCUGAUUUAUUAGUCCCUAAAUACGUCCUGGCUAAUUAGUCCUCUAGAUACGGUCCUGGUUUAUUAGUCCCUCUCGUAUUUAUGGUCACAUUUUGACUAUAUUUUCUACAAAUAAAUUAUAAGUUAUGCAUAGAAAAAAAAUAUUAUAAAAAACUAUGUUCAAAUACGAAUCGAACAAUAUAAUUAAUGAUAACAUGCAUUAACAAUUUGUUAUUUAAAUACAUUUGAUUUUUAAAGAAUUUUUGGAAUAAGAGAUAAAUAAACCAUUGAACUUAAAAAGAAACUUUAAAUACAUGGUUAAAAUUUAGCACAAAAUACAAAAGAACGUACUAAACUAGGAUGGAGGUGGUCGGUCGCAUCAGCUCAUGUAGAAAUCUCUCUAUAAAAGUGUCAUAUAACUCUCUACCGACCUAUGCAGCCGCGGGCGGCCUUCUCUUCAGCAAACAAAAACUUAGGGCUUAUCUGCCUUCCGCGGUGUCGGUCCUAGUCCGCCUCGUCUUCGGUGGUCCUAGUGCCAUGGAGUGGCAUAAUGACGAUGACAACUCCGGCAGUGACUAACAGUGGAUGGCGGCCGGCGGCGCGGCAGCUAGCGGCCUCGGCAUGGACGCUUUGGUGGGUGUGUGGUGACGGCACAGCAGGCUCCAGAGGCGGUUGGCUGACCAGACGAGACACUUUUACGGAAUCCUUGUUUUUCUGUAGAUGAAGGGAAAGUUUGGAACAAGUUUAUGAAAUUUCGAAAGAAAAAAAGUUCUUCACACGGUGGUUAUUUUAUGAAUACGGAAACUAUUAAAGAUGCUCUGUA